rnacentral:lncRNA from 1 species
UCCUUUCCCAUUCGGUACGGUAACCCCUCUCUUCUUCUUCUCCUUCCAUAAUUUUGUUCAUAACUCUUCUCGAUCGAUCUUCAUCACUGUGUCAAUUUUCUACUGCUGUAUGUUAAUUACUCACUAAGGCUUUCCAAAUUUUCAACCCCGCCCACCAAGUGUUUGAUAAUAUUCCUUGCUGACCGACCUCGCCUGGUUUUUUUUUCGUCUUUUUCAUUCAGGAGGAUAUGAGAGGGAGGCCGCUUCAUCAUCAUACUUGUACUGGUUUCAUCCAAGAUUUCAACACCUGCGACGACUGCUUCUAGCUUAGCUUCACCGGCCAGCAUAUCUACAUACAUAGAUCCGAUAUGGAGAUGAAGAGCUCGAUGAGCAGCAGUACUACUAGCAGCAAGAGCAAUAUCGG